rnacentral:rRNA from 1 species
UGGGGAAUAUUGCACAAUGGGCGCAAGCCUGAUGCAGCCAUGCCGCGUGUGUGAAGAAGGCCUUCGGGUUGUAAAGCACUUUCAGCGAGGAGGAAGGUGGGUGAGCUUAAUACGCUCAUCAAUUGACGUUACUCGCAGAAGAAGCACCGGCUAACUCCGUGCCAGCAGCCGCGGUAAUACGGAGGGUGCAAGCGUUAAUCGGAAUUACUGGGCGUAAAGCGCACGCAGGCGGUUUGUUAAGUCAGNUGUGAAAUCCCCCGGGGCUCAACCUGGGAACUGCAUUUGAAACUGGCAAGCUAGAGUCUCGUAGAGGGGGGUAGAAUUCCAGGUGUAGCGGUGAAAUGCGUAGAGAUCUGGAGGAAUACCGGUGGCGAAGGCGGCCCCCCUGGACGAAGACUGACGCUCAGGUGCGAAAGCGUGGGGCAGCAAACAGGAUUAGAU